UCCGUCUGUGGAACUCAAACUGUGGGGGCACUUUCUGUUCUGAGUAGGGAAGUGCCGCCAUUUUUUGAGUGUCACCGACGGA
rnacentral:pre_miRNA from 1 species